rnacentral:lncRNA from 1 species
UUUUUUUUUUUUUUUCCCAAUAGUGCCAAGAAGCCAUCCCUCCUAGACUGUGUUAUGUCACUCACCUCGGUAGAUCUCUGCACCUCCCACCAUUCAUGUAGUGAGCCUCUGUGCCUGUUCUCUGGGGCAAGUGGAGCCUGCAAUAGAGGCACCCUAGAGUCCGGGAGACGGAAGGCACCGGGGCCAAAGACUCCUUAACAAGGAGAAGAAGGCACUUUGAUAGUGAGGGUGAGGGAACCUCAUGUGGCCUGAGCACUGGCCUGGCCCACCAAACAAAGAUGAAGAAACACAAGGACUCCUUGUUGGUCAGCCCUCUACCCUCCCCCUGACACACCCAGACGCUCGCAGAGUACCCUCCUGGCAGCCUGAACAGCACACUCUAGCCCAGUAGGCCACCGCUGGGGCAGAGAGCAGAGCCACACCACAGCAGAAAGCUGAGCUGCCUCAGGAUCUUGUAAAUUGGUUAUUAAUGGCGGGAGGUGGAGGGGGGCCAAGAGUGAUCCUCUCUGCUGGAGGCCUCAGUCCUCUGAACCAUCCUGGUGAUUUCACUUAAUCUCCAUUUAAAGAGGGUCCCAGAAGGCUGCAGGAACUGCGGAACUCAGGUCCCAGGCUUGUCAGACACCUCAGACCUUUACUCAGGCGACCUUCACUCAUGCAUCUUCUAAAUAGCUUUUAGGUCAUCUCUUCCUCUGCUUUCGAUUCCUAGUGUGUUUGUGGGGAGCGCCCUCUCUCCUGAGGGGUCUUUGCCUUCCUGCCCUUCUCGCUCUCCCGCCUAUCUUCUCCCCCCAGUAACCAGGCUCAGGUAAUGGGGUUGGACAAAAGGGUUGGGUGACCCCCAUUUGGGGGACAAAAGGGAAGGAGAGACUAGUAAAGGGAGGAGGCCACAGCAGAGCCCACUAAGAUCAGCCCAGUGGCCAGGGAGCCAGGGACGUGUCCAGACAAUGGUGGGGCCACAGGAGGGGACUUCUCCCAGCAAAGUCUCUGGAACCUGAGCUGGGAAGAAACCAGAUCCACCGAUGGGGGUAGGAGGAAGGUGAAUGAUUAAUGAGGGAGAUUAAGAGAUGAAAUCUGGGAUCUGGGCUUGGGGGGGGGGGUGAGGGAGUGGUUUGCAGUGCUCAGCUGCCUUGUAGGCUCUCCCACCCAUACCUCCCACCCCAGGGUCCAACCCUUCUUGUCCUGGGCAUUUCACAGAGUGAUUCCUAGAUACAGAGUGAGUGAGAAUCACAGAGUGAUUCCUAGAUACUCACCUCUCCACCCCCUCCCCGCGGGUGAGCGUUUUUCUCUCUCAGCAUUCUCCAGCAACCCAUCCUCAUCUCCCACCUCCUCGAUUCCCCUCACAAUCCUUUCAGACAUCCAGGGUCUUCUGCUCCUCCCUGUUGUGGAGCUCCCCACAUUCCAACUUUCACUCCCCCAGGAAGCCGCCUCCAUUCCAAUUUAAGGAUGCCUUCUCACACUUCUGCUCCUCACCCUUUCAGAUUUCCCCUUUCUUGUGGCCCCCACCUUCUCUGUCAUUCCCUGAUACCGCACUUUUCCACCACCUUGACUGCCUCAGCUUUCCAUCUGGUGGGUUCCUUGACCCAGGCCCACCAGACUGCUGGCAUGGAGAUAUGCUCAAUAAACCACCUUUAGUUUCGAGUUUCCCUCCCUGUGCAUUCCUUUGAAUUCUGUGAGUGUGGAGGGGCAACCGGGGAUCCUCCAAAGAACCCCCUCAGGUGGAGAGUCACAGAGAGGUGCUCAGCCAGCCCUCCCCACCAUCAGGGAGGUCCGUUAGCCAGGGGGAGGGGAGUGGAGUUAGGGAGGAAACUCCAGGCAGCAGGGUGCGGGGCGGGGCGGCCGCCCGUCUCGGCCACUUCUGAGGUUGUUUUCUCUUUCAUAAAACUUUGUUGUGGAGUGAACCGACUCAGACACUUAACAUUUUAGUUUCCUUUCUUCUAGGGCCGCCCUGUGAGCCCCUGCCGGCUCAACAAAGAACUCUGUGCGCCUGCUGCAGUUGUGUGUGUGCCAUGCUGGGGGAGCAGCAGGAUACUCAGACCCCCAUCCUUGUCACAAACACACACACACACACACACACACACACACCAAGACCCACUACUGCCCCACUGCCAGUGAAGUCCCUUUUCCUUCCUUUUGCCCACCCCCGACGUUGGCAGAGACUGGCAAGGCUGAGAGAAACUGGUCUCCCCUGUGCCAAAGGCGAGUGCAAAUCUUAUCAGUGCUACCUCCCCCCAGGUGAGGGUGGAGUGCGGAAAAGGGCUAGAUGAGAAAGGACAGCAGGGGCAAGGGCCUCACCCAGUGGGUGAGGACUGAUGCCUCUACCCCUCUACCCGGAAGUGCUGUGAAGUCAAGGGCGCCCCAGGGCACCCCGGGGAAGGCCAGCCCAGCUGCACCCUGGGACUGCCCCAUGGCUGCCUCUUUGAAUGCGACCUGCGACCUGCGCAUUCUGAGUCACACAGCUCAAAGAGAACCCUGGGCUUGAUUCUCCCCCGUGGUGCAGAUAGCAGAUCGUAACCUGAGUGACGGUGGGGGACAGGGUUGGUGCAGUGCAGGCCAGGCAGAGUGGCAAUGAACCCAUAAACAGAGGAAGAGCAGCGCUCAGCUCAGCGCAGCUGGCUUGCAUCAGCAACCUCAGGAAACAGAGAUGGAGACGCACCAUAGCUGCCUCUGCCCCCACUGCUGACAGACAAAAAAAAGAUUCUGCUGAGCUGGGGGUGAAGGGAGGCCACCGCUACACCCCAGAUCCAAGCCUGAGCACCUUC